AUCAUUUCCUCAAAAUCUCAUUUUAAUCACUUUUCUUUCACCUCCUUCAAUCCUUUUCUUAAUUCUUGUUAAAAACACAUAUUAACUGUAAAUACAAGCAUGGCUGCAAACAGAUUUGCAACGAUGCUACACAGACACACCAACAAAAUCACACUGAUUCUCAUCUACGCAGUGCUGGAAUGGAUUCUGAUCUUCCUCCUCCUCCUCAACUCCCUCUUCUCCUACUUCAUCAUCAAAAUCGCCGACUUUUUCGGCCUGAACCCUCCGUGCUUCUGGUGCGCGAGAAUCGAUCCCGCAAAAGGGGGCAAAAACAUUCACAGGGAUCUUCUCUGCGAAUCCCACUGCAAGGAGGUUUCGAGACUGUGUUACUGCUCCAACCACCGGAAGUUGGUGGAUUCCGAGGGUAUGUGUAAGGAUUGUUUUUCCUCGUCGAAGAAUUUUGCUCUGUUUCCAUGGAUGAAAGGGUUUGGAGUAAGUUUGAAGUGUUGUUGUUGUGGGGUAUGUGUAGAUGAUGAUGGUGGGGAACAUUCUUCUUAUAUUCUGCUCAAGACUUCAUCUUGGGAUGCUUUGGAAUGUGCCCAGAAAGAGAAUUUGAUUGUUGAUUGUGAUCAAGUUGAGGAAGGAUUUGAUGAUUUUGCGGAGAAGAUUCUUGAUUCUUCUGCUGAUUUUGGUGGCGUUGGAAUGGUUGAGAUUGAUGGCAAUUCGGUGGAAGCAGGGGAAGAUGAAGUUGAGAGAGGAAGGGAAACUGUUUUGGAAGAGAAGUCGGUUUUGAUCAUGAAGGAUAAGUCUGUGCAGGUGUGUGUUGAAGAAGAUGAAGUUCCGCCUCAGCAUUUGGAGUUUUUCCUGGAUUACAGUGGUCACACUUUGGUUCCGAUUGAGUUGGUCGAUUUGAUGAUGGAUGAGCAUCUUGGCGAGGGGAAUGAUAGGAUUGAAGAUGAUGGUGAAGGCAAUGAGAGAGAGCCAUUGGUUUUGGGGAGAGAGGAGAAAAGGGCAGGUGCAUUUCUUGAUGUUGAUAUCAAUGAGGAACCUACAUACGCGAUGCUUGAGGUCAUGGAAAUGGAAGAAGAUGAAAACUCUCUUGUGUUUCAUGCGAAAGGCUCUCAUUUUGAGACCACGUUUCCACUGGCACGGUGGCCUUCUGUGGAGGCAAAUGGAGAUCUAGAAAUGGCUGGAGCAUCGGUGGAGGAACAAUCAGAUGAUCGUGCAGAUAAUAAUGUAGCAUGUGAGGAGGUUACUCCGGGAAACAAUGAAAAUGAAGCAGAUGUCUCAAUUGGAACUGACAUUCCUGAUUUAGAUGUAGCAGAUGAGAUUAUACAAAUUCAAGAUUCUGCUCAUUCGUAUGAGUGCAGUCACAAAGAUCCGUCAACGAGUUGUGCUGAUCUUUAUGCACCAUAUGAUGGUCAUGGUAAUUUUGGAGUUCUUGCUUGUCCUAGUGAAGUUGAGGAGCAGAUGGUGGAGCUAGAAUCGUUAUCGUAUGAGGAUAAGGAGCAUGUGAAGGCGAACGAGCCUUCGUUUCAGUCUGAAGUGAAUGAGACUGGGGAGGAAGAGGAUAAGUUUCCUGAUACGCUGACGUCUGUGGAUAGCCACAACCAGUUACACAAGAAGUUGUCACAGCUCGAGAAGAGGGAUUCGGGGACUGAAGAGUCAUUGGAUGGGAGUGUGACGAGUGAGUUGGAAGGUGGUGAUGGAGUUGUCACUGUUGAGCGGUUACAGGCAGCACUGAGAUCACAAUGCAAGGCGUUGCAAGCAUUGUACAUGGAGUUGGAAGAGGAGCGUAGUGCCUCUGCUGUGGCGGCCAAUCAUACAAUGGCAAUGAUAAACAGGCUGCAGGAAGAGAAGGCUGCGAUGCAGAUGGAGGCUCUGCAGUAUCAGAGGAUGAUGGAGGAGCAGUCGGAAUACGAUCAAGAAGCUCUGCAGCUCAUGAAUGAGCUAAUGGUGAAGAGAGAGAGGGAGAAGCAGGAGGUGGAGAAGGAGUUGGAAGGGUAUAGGAAGAAGCUAUUCGAGUAUGAGACUAGGGAGAAGGUGAGGACGUUGAGAAAGAGCAAAGACGGGAGCACAAGGAGUGGAUUCUCAUCGGCUUCUUGUAGCAAUGCUGACGAUAGCGAUGGAUUGUCCAUUGAUCUGAAUCAAGAUGCCAAGGAAGAAGAGGGGUUUUACAGCCAUCAAGAAAAAUACAAAAACCAGAGCACGCCUGUCGAUGCAGUCGUCAACUUGGAGCAAUCGUUAGCCGAUUUUGAGGAAGAGAGGAUGUCCCUACUCGAGCAGCUCGAGGUUCUAGAAGAGAAGCUCUUGACAUUGGACGAUGAUGAUGACGACAAGGAGAAAAAUUCCAAGGAAGAAAAUGGUCAUCAUCAUCUUAAUGGUGAAAUAAAUGGACAUGCAAAUGGCUUUGCUAAAGAAACAACGAAAGGGAAGCAUCAUCAUCAACACUGGCGAAUCGCGGGCCACCAGGGCAAAUCACUGCUCCCCCUCUUCGAUGCAAUCUGUGAUGAAAACGGAGAUGCAAUGCUGAAUGGAAAUGGAGUGCACGAUUCUUCUCACGAUGAAUCAGAGUUCGAGAGACAGCAAGCUCUCGAGGAAGAUAGGUUGUUUCUCAAGCACUGCGUUAGCUCUCUGAAGAAAGGUGACAAGGGCAUGGAUCUCCUUCAUGAAAUCCUGCAGCAUCUGCAUGAUCUCCGCAACGUGGAGGUUCGAACCAGAGCAUGGACGACGGUACUAUAAAUGAAACAAGUCAUCAUCAAGUAUCCAUCCAUAUCCACAAAAUAUCCUUUGUAAUCCAAAGCUACUAACGCUUGAUGCAAAAGAAACAGCUAAUGAGGAGAGGGAAUUGAAGACUCUUGUUUUGAGGUAAAAUUUGCAGACAAGAAUUUGAAAUCUGCUGGAGUUUUGGUCCUUUGUUUCCUUACUAUUGUGUCAUGGUAGACCCAAUAUUUUUAGUGGGAAAAAGGGGGUGAUGAAUGUAUCUGUGUGUAGUCUAGUGAUCACAAAUAGCUGUUGUCACUUUUGUUAUGUUUUUGUGAGUUAACAUUUCAUUAGGCAUUUAGGAGUAGGUUUAGUUCCAUUUUUCAUGUUUGGAGAGAGAGGGGAAAAAGGGGUAAGCAACUUCCUAUUUCCAAGUCUCAUUAUAUUUGCAUGAUUCAAAUUAAUCAGAGUUUGUUUAUUUAUUUGGAAGGUCUAGUAGUAAACUACCUGUACCCAUCUGUAAUUAUAUAAAAAUGAGUGUGUUUGUCUA